rnacentral:lncRNA from 1 species
GGUCUCGGUUAGAGCUGGCACAUUUUUCUCCACUCGUGCUGAGAUCUCUGAUGUGCAGGAUAAUAGCUUCCACGAGAGGUAUCAGCUUCCCUGCAACAUCAGCAGCUUCUAGAAUGGACUGCCCUAAAUAGUUCCAGUAUGGGGGCAAAGAAUUGAAGGAUAACGCUCAGAGGAACGAGACUCAUGGCGAGAAGUUUUGAGGAAAGGGGAAUGUGGAUAUGGAAGCAGGCACUUCUCUGCCUUGGUGGUUGAGCAUAUGCUCCCAUUAUCACAAUAUUAUGGGCUUUAUUUGAAUGUGAAUGCUACGCGUAAGUUU